rnacentral:lncRNA from 1 species
CAUAUUUCAGGAAAAUGACAAUUUUGUGGAAGGCAUUAACAUUCAUUGGGUCUUGAAGGAAGAGCUUUUAUGGGUAGGAGUCACUUUAAGCAAUACAGAAAAUUUGGGGAAUUUUAGCAUGGGAAAAAAUUAACGCAUCACUUUGUUAUAAGAGCUGUCUGGCAGUUGGCGAAAGCUCUUUUUAUCCCCUUGACACUACCUAUUCUCUUGCUUGCUCCGAAGUUUCUACUGAGUUAGUUACCGUGUUAUGUAAGGUUACUAGCCCUUUUGAUCUCAGUAUGGCAGUGUAUGGACUUACUAAGAUGUUAGUAGCGAAGUUCAGAUUUUGCCUUUGCUGUUGAUUUAGGGCCAGUCUUGUAAAACUCCUUUGCUGUGAUUUCUGUAGUUGCCAUUUUUUCAUUAAAAUUCCUAAAUUCUUAUGUUGUCAUGAUUCUAAUAAAAGACAAUAUGCAAAGAUAA